rnacentral:misc_RNA from 1 species
GCAGGAUCAACCAGGUAGCAUUCUUCUCGGACAUCGGCACGCACGGCUCGGGGCCGGAACGAGACCGAAGUCGUUCGAAAUUGGCUUUAAAGCCUUUUUGGGGACAAUAGAACUCAACGACUUCGUGCCCUCAUCGUUUCCUGCAUCCCAGCGCCCGAAGGGGAAAUUUCUGGCCCCGAAACCGACCCGAAAUGUGUGAAACGGGGGACCCGAAACCCCGUUUCGAGUUUCCCCCGCGCCCGCCCCGAUUUAACGAGCAGCCUAAGGCGAACAGCUAGAGAUUGACAACCAAUUUCCUUCACGUAGGUACGAAACCCCGGAAACCAAGGAACGGUCAAGGUAAAAUUGUGCCAACAAUGAAGAGGAUAGCAAGGUAGGACGUCGCAGCUCAAGGCAGGGAUCCAACCAAACCAUGCUAAC